rnacentral:ncRNA from 1 species
CUACGGACUUAGAAAACUGAGCCUUAGCGGAGAAAUCUGCUAAGUGGAAGCUCUCAAACUCAGGGAAACCUAACUUUAGCUUUGGGUAACGGCUUCAGCCCUAUUCCGAUGCUAGACAUGGCAAUCCUGAGCCAAGCUGGCAACCUAAACUUGCCGGAAGGUGCAGAGGCCCGACGGGAGCUACCCUAACGUUUAGUCGAGGGUAAAGGGAGGGUCCAAUUCUUAAAACCU